CGCCAGGACCGCAUCACCACAAAAACUAAGAAACAACAGCGAGGAAAGGAAAAAGCGAAAAACUAACACGAGACGGCAGGAGACGCAGCCGAUUCGCGUCGGACAAAGAGGGCGCCGUAUAAACACCCGGCUGAAGACUAGAAGAACGGCGGUGCAGCACGCGCGCAUACGCACUGGUCUGUGAUGGAUGGAAAGCGCAGACAGUACGUGCCACCGGCGCUAGGAGGCUCUCCAGCCUCUACCGCUGCCACAACCGCGGCGGCGGUCGCAGCGGAUGCGGCCGCAAAGCGCCUCAUCAGCCUCCGAAACAGCGCGCGCCCGCCGGAGCCGUCCCUACCGACGCAGACCUCCCCGAACGCACAAGCGUUGCGUGAGCAGGCCGUGGCAGACAUACGCCAGCGCGCACCAUCCCUGAAUUCGGGCAGCUCACAGGUGUUUUUGCCCACCGCUAGGGAUGGCGGGCACUCUGACAGUGCCACCAACACGACAGCUUUCGCUGCCACGGGUCUGCCGCGCACGUAUAGAGACGACUCGCUCUCCCUUCCGCGCCCUCGCUCGUACGCAGCACCACCGCUAGCCUCGUCGGCAUCAUCAUCGCCAGCGCCAGCUACCGUUGCCGCUGCUGCUGCCGCUGCCGCAUUGCUGAAGAUUCGAAACCGAAUCGGCAACAGCACAACGCCCGGCACCGUUACCAGCGGUCAUCCCUCGUCUUCCGAGAUGAUGCCACAAUCCCCGUCGUGGCACUUGACCGCCAGACCCCCGCCAAAGGCUCCGCGGUCGUGGACACCGCCAACGCUCUCUCUGCGGCGACCAUCGUCCGCCGCCACCAUCGCCAGUCACCCUACAGGAGAGGUGCACGAGCGGAGUUACGCCAUCACCGCUUCCGCGAACCUGUCGCCGCAGCACGUGUUCUUGUCCUCGUCAUCGCCGACUCCCCCUCCAUCGGACGCACCUGGAUCAGCAGUGGAGCCGCGUCGGGAUGUGCUGGGGCUGGGCGGUGACGCGGCUAGAUGCAGCGACGUUGUAGGACUGGCGUCGGUGUCACAAGCAGGGCUCAAGCGGCCGCGCGACUUUGGCGUCCCCUCGAUAUCCGAUGGUGAGGAUGACCGUGACGAUGGUGGUGAUGGUGGACAAGGAGGUACCAUCGCCUCCUCACCAGCCUCUCCGCGUUCUUCUUCUUCCUCCACCGACAAGGCAUCCGCGCCGCCCUCGAUGAGCAACGGCGUGGGUGCAGGUCUCCCUCGCGCUCCUGUAAGGGGGGAAGGGCUCGGCGAGGGCUCGGCAACGCGCCCCCUUGCAGCGUGGCGAGGCCUCCUCCCGCGUCCUGGUGUUGGAGACGCCAGCACUGCACCACAGCCGCAGCACCCUCUCGGCCUUGCAAGCCUUCAUCAGCACGCUUUUUCACGGCUGAACCGAGCCACCACAGCGUCCGACGAAGAAGCUGAGCAGGCGACGUUCAACCGUGAAACGGAGGACGAAGAUGCGGUCGCAGAUGAUGAGACCGGGGAGGAGGAUGGGGGUGGCGGCCGCCGGAGCGUGGUGCAAAGUGACCCGCUUCGUGUCGUGGUGGAUUUCGCUGAGGUAAGAAGGGCUGCAGCGCGCUCCAAGACGGCCGCUGCUGCCGCUGCCAGUAGUGAUGGCGCCCUGCAACAAGCAGAGGAGGCGGAAGCCAUGCUCACAGACGCCCAAAAGGGGAGCGAGUCGCAUCGCCACGCGAAGCAGGAUAAUGCGAGCAGGUGCAGUCUUGAAGCAGAGCGCGACGCGCGUGACGUCGCAAGCGCACGCGCUUUCUUGGAGAAGCGAGCAUGGGCCGACGUUCAUCGGCGUGCGACGCAAGCGGCCACCACACCCGCACCACCAUCGGAGCUUCUCCUCGACCUCCUUCAGCAUCUCCCGACCACGCCGGGACGUGCGAUUUACGACCGAAGCAGCUGCCCGCCCACUGCCGCGGCUAGCGGCUUCGACGAAGACUUCCACAAGUGCGUGCAGCAGCUCAUGACACAAAUAGUGCUACAGCGCGAUGGCCGAAUCGGCGAUGCGAAGCUGCCCUCCGUUUCCCUUGCUGAUGCAGCGGCGGCGCAGCAAGACAGUGCCUCUCUUCGCCAUCGCAGUCGCAUGCAACGAAAGGGUGCAAAGCAGAAACAGAAAGAGGGUGAGGUGGAGCAGCUCGUUGAGGCUGUCGAGAGGGGCAUUGCAGACGAUGUGCGCGAUGUCGUUGCCUACGCCCGAUUCCUCAUGCAGGAGCGACUGCAUCAAGAGCAGCGGAAGGUGUCAGAGCGUCUCUCGUCACCUUCGAAGACGGCAGUCGAAGAAUCGGAGGGGAACUUCUGCCCUGACGGCGACAUGCGGACCCCCGAACAGCAACAGCAGCUUGCUGAGCUGCGAGCGGUGGUUGAGAAAAAGCUAAGCCUCAUGCGCGCUGCUGCGGAGUCCACCGACAAAGGGGGCGAGUCCGAGAGUGCGACGUUGCGCACCAAGCGAGCGCAGAGCACGCGGGGCAGCGAGGAUGACGCCGACGGGAUUCCAGGGGCAACUGAUGCGGCGCUUCAGGAUUCCAAGGCAGUGUUUGCCGCGGCCCACAGGCGAUUCAUGGACGUCGUGCGCAGCGCAGCGGCAAGUCGCCGCGAGAAAGUGGAAGCAGCUCAGGCGGCGGAGCAGCGACUGGAGGCCACCGUGGCCGCCUGGCGGAAGUCCUACGAUAAGCUGCUGACGCGCGAGCUGAGCCGUCACUGCGCGGGGAAGAGGCCAGACAAGCAAUCACGGACGGAGGCACUGCUCCAGGCUAUGCAGCCGCAGCAGGAGAAGCACCAGAAGCGGCAACACCACCGACCCCCGACUGGUCUGUGGGAGAUGACGAAGGGAAUGCACAAGAAAGAGCGCAAGCACCUGAGCAAGCUUGUCAAAGCAGCGGCUAAUGUGCUCCCUCUCCCGCCCUUUCAGUACCCGCCAGCACCACCACACUUCUCUCCGUAGCGCCGCCCUUUUUCUGUACCUCUCUAUCGCUCUGCCUCUCUCGAUUAACACCGCCGUCACUGACACACCGCAACGUGUGGGAGGGGAAGGAAGGGGCGAAGGUAGAAAGGUUGAGCACAGGCGCGCGGAAAGGCAGCCCGAGUACGUUGCGGUCAUCUUCGCACACACUCCCGAGCUACAUGUGUACGCACAGGCAUGCAAGUGCAGGGGCACAUGAUAUGCGCAUGCUCUACGAGCCAUCUCUGCCAAAGCGAGAGAGGGAAAGGGGAAGCAGUUUUUGAUCGUGCACGCCGCUGUCCGGGAGCAUACAUGCGUGCCGGUACCGCUUGCAUGCCUCGCGUUUGCCUUCUCAUGUGGUUUCCUUUUUUCCCGCAUUUUUCAGUGAAUCUCAUGAGGUGAUCCACCCCCCCCCUUCCGUCGUCGUCGCCUCGCUCACUUCUCGCGGCUGCUGUCACUGCAGUUGUUGUAGCAUCGACCUCUCAUGAUUCUACCCUCACUGUUGCCCGCCUCACCGGCUCGUUUCCUGCUCCCGUUCUCCCUCUAUUCUCCUCUGUUGUAUUUGCCUUUCUCUCUGUCGGCUUUCACAG
rnacentral:misc_RNA from 1 species